UCAAAAGGUCAUUAGGCUUUUAAUAUAAUUAAAACAAAAUACAAGUACAUACACAUACACAUAUAUCAACAAAAUAGUUUGGAAUCUUUGAAAAAGUGCUGAUAUUCUGAAAGUGCUUAUUCAUAGCAGUUUUAUGUAUGUACAUGUAUACGUAGCGUUUACCCCCACUUAGGAACAGACCAGGAAACGAACUGUUUCUACACUUUCGGAGCAAUGGAAGAGGCUGCUUAGAUGUGUCGGUUUUAAGAAGCAUUUAAAGGGGUGGUGUGUGUCGUAAGGGGACUCAUUACAUGCUGGACAUACGUUAAGUAGCUUAAGACAGCUCGAGCUCUUCAUCUCCUAUGAGUGGUGCUUUGACCUCGAGAAUGGCAUUCACAGUGAGUGAGUUUUUGAACUCGUUAACUGACUCUUGGUGAACAGCGUUAAGUGCUUGUUUUUACGGCGUCCUGUCUAGGGUUUGUUGUGCCUGUUGAUAAGUAGAGUCCUUUAAGUCGGGUACUCCUUACUGAUUUCGGCUUUGGCUUCCAAUAAAUAUCUGUUGGGGUGCUUUCCCAGCAUCAGCAUGCUUAUUCCGUCGGGCCGAUGGCUUUCGCUUUACCGAUGACCUCCUGAUACUCUUCCCUGGAGAAAUCAAGUGUCGUCCUGGUGCUCGGUAGUUUGCGCAGACAGCGUGCCAGAAUUUAUUACCAAUAUCUUAGUGGAGUUUCUUCAUUGAUAUAGCCGUUUGUCCUAAAAUGCUAACGUAAAUACCCAGUCCUCUUAUAUCUUACAUAUAAUUUGUUCAUUUCUUAAAGCUUAGAAAUACUUUAUUAUGCUUUAAGCCAAUCGGAAAAAAAUUUUAUAUUUUGAGAACCAACAAUGAAGAGGGUAGAAUGGCGACGUCAUUCCCUGCUGGCAAACAGUUAAAAACAAUUUGUGCGGAUAUUGACAUUUGCAUGUUUGGUACAAGAAGAAUUGCAUAUUUUUAGGCGCUCAUAUACGUUGGCACCUAUUUACUGUGACUUUUAACAUUUUUGGAAAUUAAAUUGUCUACGUUUUUAAUGUACGACAACGAAAAAACACAAUUUUACUUUGUUUAUGUGUGGACAAAUUCAAAAUUGUUUUUGAACAGAUGAAUAAGUUCUCCUCAAUACAAUUUACACACUGAAGUUCAUCAUAAAUGGUAUAAAAAUACAUUAAUAACUCACAGGAAGCACUACCAAUUUAAGAAUUGUUCAGAAUUAGUUAAAUAAAGAAACGAAGAGCUCCUAUGCAUAAUUUCAACAUUAACUGGGUAAGCACUAAAAUUUAUCAUAAGAAAACAUAUGUGAUAACUUAACUUUCAAAUUGUUUACUGUAUCUUGUUACGCCCAACACACACUUCCAUUUUAAAAACUACUAAUGCAAUUUCACUAGCAAAAUUCCGCAAAUCUCCAUUAACACAUUUAUAAUAAAACAUUUAUAAUUAAAACAAUUUCCUUCUUAAUUUUUUUCUAUUCUUUAUUCUCUUCUACGCACAAUUACUGCAAUUGUAUUUUUAGUGACUUUUUAUCAUUCUAUUUUUG